GGUUUAUAGUCCCUGAGGUCCCAAUGACCUGUCCCCAGAGUGAGGGACUGCCUCGGUAAACAGCCCUAGGACUGUUUGCUUAUCUGGCCUCGAGGGUUCGCGCGUCAUGGUGCACCGCCCCCUUGGUUCCCAGGUUAGGAGUGGGCCCUCUACGCUGCAGGAUUCAGUGAGAACACAGGAAUUUAGUGAUGAGUCAUCUUCAGUACAGCAAUCCCAGGAAUUUAGAGGCUGGGGAUUAACCAAGCUGACUUCAAAAUGCAAAGAAAGACAGCUGGACUAGAAAAUCAGAACCCCUGGAUCCUUCCUCCGGUUCUCUUAUUAAAUAAGCUAUGUGUCCUUGGACAAGGGAUUUCAUUUCCGUUUCUCCAUCCAUAAAGUAUUGAUAAUACUUGCUCUGUUUACCCUACAGGAUUCAUUUUUUUUUAAGCAUGAUAAAAAUAAGGUAUAUCAAGUAAUGGUGUUUCUAUUUUUUAGCUACAGAAGCUUUUCCGUGGUUGUAGUGGCUAGAAAUGAAUCUGGGAGCCAAGGGGUUUGUUAAUUUCAGAUAGCUAAAAUUAACUGAUUAGUUUAAGAACCAAGCAUUGAGACUUUACUGCAGGUUAAAACUGCAAUUAACUGGCAAAAUCCUGACGCUGGCUUUAAUUUAGUACUUACAAGUAACAUAUUUGCCCUAAACUCAGUCUCCUCUGAAAUUACUUUUUAUGAUUUUGAAAAGUCGUGAGUAGAAAUGAGAAAAAUAUCAAGCAAUUUUUUUUUUACUAAUUGUAUAAAAUUAGUAUAUAAUCAAUGACAUUAAUUUGCUUUCCUCCUAAAGGAAUAAAGUAACUUUUUUCUUGACACUUAUUUGUGUGAGAAACUUUAUGCCUCUGGACUGGCUGCCAAAUUUUAAUUUCUGGUUGAGUUAUAGUAACCCUGGUUGAGUUAUAGUGGGAGGAUAUACUUGGACAGUUUAAACCAGAGAUCGAAUGUUUUUAAAACCUAUGGUGUCCCUGCUUUUGAAACCUGUUUAUAAAGGGUCCUCUUAAAAAAUUAGACCUUGUUUUGGAUUCUUAUAUGUGGAAAUUGCAAUUACUUAAUACAGUUUUAUGCUUCUAAAAAUGUUUAUAUGUCUGUGAUAAAAAUUAAGUGACAGGAAUGUCAUAAAAUGAGAAAAAAACUAUUUGAAUGUGAUUCACAAAUAGUUAAGGUUACAAAUCAGUAAAAUGAAGGGGGAAAGAUGGAGAUAACCUCAAUAAUAGAGAACGAAGCUGCCUGACAGAAAGUUUUGAAGAAAUGUUUCAUGUGAGAAUCCCCUUCUUGCUCAUAAUGAGCCCUAUCUCAACAACCAUGGUUGCAUCUCUUUUCCUUGAGGCCAGAUAAGUCUAAGCAGCAUCCCCCAACACUAUAGUGGUCCUUAAAACUAUCCAGGCAGCCUGGAGAGUUCUAAAAACCCCGUGGAAGGUAAAGGAGCAUUGGUGGCUUGUUGUCAUUCACAGUGAUGGGCUGUGUCUUGCGGCUAGCUGAAGGAGAUGCCAGAGACGCAGUGGGGGCACUGGAGAGUGUGAAGGGAAAAGGAGACAGCACAGCACAAUGCAUUAUCUAGGGAAAGGGAUAUGGAUUUCAAGGAAUUGCGAGAGUACAUGGCAUAUUUGUCCACUUAUUAAAACUUAACCAUCAGGCUACUCUUGGGUAAAAUUGAGUAUAUUUCAGGAUAGGUCUCCUGAUUAGGAUUUUUAUUGAAAAAAAGAAGGGAGACCAAAUGAAGGGCAUUUCCUCCUUUGGCCACUCUUUCUAGGUUUCUGAGGGCAGGAACUCUGUCUACCCCACACUGAGACAUAGUAUGUGCCUAAUAAAUAGUGAAUAAAAUUGGGGCACCUGGGUGGCUCAGUCGGUUGAGCGUCCAACUUCGUCUCAGGUCAAAAUCUCACAGUCCAGAGUUCGAGCCCUGUGUUGGGCUCUGUGCUGACAGCUCAGAGCCUGGAGCCUGCUUUGGAUUCUGUCUCUCUCUCUCUCUCUCUGCCCCUCCCCUGCUCAUGCUCUGUCUCUCUGUGUCUCAAAAAUAAAUUAAAACAUUAAAAAAAAUAGUAAAUGAAAUAAAGCAUGAAUAGGUUUUGGCAUACCUGAUUAAGAUGGCCCUAUUGCCCAAAUAACUGCAGAAAAGCCAGGAAAUAAGCUGAAUGGAGGAUCCUUCAGUAAACCAUACUAGCUGGGAGGCAACAUACUGAUGCAGUUAAAGCAUGGGCUUUGGCUAUUAUGAGAUAUAAGUUUCAGAUCUCCCCCCUCUGGAGAUCAGAUUUCUUUCAUUUAAUCCUGAUUUUGUUACUUAAUACCUUUAAGCUUUAAUUUCAUCUAAUUAUGAAGAACAUUGUCUGUUUCAUAGGGUCAUUAUAAGGCUAAAUCUAAAGUGCUUACCAUAGUAACUAGUUCAAGGUAAAUAUUCCAUGAGUAGUGGCAAUUAUUAAUAUUAUUAGCAUUAAUAGUAAUAGUAUUUAUUGUUACAACCAUUACUUUCUCACACUUAUUUUAUCAUGAUCGAAGUAAAGAGAAAGUUGAGAACAAUCUUUACUCAUGAUGGCAUAAUUUACUGCAUAAACUGUGGUUUUCUGCCAGGGCCAUGCCAUGUUUCAGGGAUUAAAAUUGAGAGGUUGGUCUAAACUCUCCUCGUCCCUGAGUCUUGACUCCCAAAAUUUAUGCUUAUUGUCCUGUCCCCUAGUUAUAUCAAGACAUCAUGCCUCGUAAACUGGAUUUCUACCUUCAUUGCAGCUACCUCUAGAUUCAGAUAGGCGUUCUGAAGCACUGCUUUCAUUAUUUCAAUCCAUCCCUCUCCCUCCUCUUCUGACCCCAUGUCUCCUCUUUAGUUACCAGAUGAAGGUCAGUUGCUUAGCCUGGCAUGCAAGGUUUCGAAUUAUCUCCAUUGCUGAAUCCCUCUCAGUUUGGCUUAUCUACUUUGGCCUGGGAUGGUUUAAAGUUCUGCCAAAUUCCUACCAACUGUAGUCCAAAUCUCAAAAAGCCAGUUUAAGGCAGCAUUGAAGGCAGAGGGAGAUCCAUUGUGAAGAGACAAUGGCCUCUAUAUUUACAGGGGCCCAGAGUGAGUCUGCAGCCAGUUUGGUCAUUUAGGGUCUACAGUUCAGUUAUUAUUCGCAGUUUAUUUCUUUUCCUUAGUAUAUUCUCACUGUAGAAUUGAUAGAUUAAGAGGUUUUCCUGAAUAUCUUUCCCCAAACCAGUCUUCUUUAUUGAAAUUUUUUGAAGAUUCAAAUAACGACGUGACAUUUUUUUGGAUCUGGAAGUCUUUGGCUAAGCAUUUAUUAGAGCUAUAAAAGCAUCCUGAUGACUAUUCCCAUUGAAAUCACUCCAUUUAGGGGGUUUUCUCUUACUAAUUUACCUUGGCAACUGUUUUGGGAAUCUGGGUGGCUAUAUAUCUUUUUAAUUUUAUGCACUUGCUUAGCCUAUGUUUCAUAAUUGGGUUGUUUUACCUUUUCAUGGAUAGCUAGCCAUAGCAACAACUAUAAACAAGUUAAAAUACUUCUAGUCCCCAAUUUAUUCAUUCUCAAAUACUCAUGGAGCACCUUUUUUGUGUAAAAAAGUGAACGAUACAUUGGAAAUAUAUAGAGAUAACUAAAAAUAAUGGCUAACAUUUAUUGGUUGUUUUCAAGUGCCAGGCACUGUCCUAGGGGCUUUGUAGUCACUAUUUUAUUUAAUCCCCAUACUCAUUCUAUAAGGUAGAUAUUAUUAUCCCUAUUUACAAACAAGAAAACUGAGAUGUGAUAAAAUGAAGUAACUUGCCAACUCACACAGCUAUGAUGGGGCUGGAUAAACAAAUAGUGGAAUAUGACUCCAAAGUUUAUGAUUUUAUCCAAAUACAAUCACUGCCUUCAAGAUACUUAUAGUAACAGAGAUUAAACAUGAAACUAUAAUAAAACAAAUAAUUCAGUUUAAAAAUGGGCAAAGGAUCCGAUAGACAUUUCUUCAAAGAAUAUAUACAAAUAACUAAUAAAUAUAUGAAAAGAUGCUCAAUAUCAUUAACAAAAGCAAAUCAAAACUACAAAGAGAUACUAUUCAUACCCAUGAGGAUGGCUAAAACCAAAAAAUAAUGAGUGUUGGUGAGGAUGUAGAGAAAUUGGAACCCUCCUACCCUGCUGGUGGAGAUCUAAUAUGGUACAGUUACUUUGGAAACCAGCCUGGUAGUUAGUUCCUCAAAAGUUAAAAAAAAAAAAAAAGAAUUACCAUAUACAACGCAGCAAUUCCACUCUUAGGUAUAGAUCCAAGAGAACUAAAAACACGUUCACACAAAAAUUUGUACACAAAUGGCCAUAGCAGAAUUAUUCAUCAGAGCUAAAAAGUGGAAACAACUCAAAGUUCUAUCAACUGAUAAAUUGACAAAUAAAAUGUGGUUAUCCAUACAAUGGAAUUUUAUUUGGCAAUACAAAUAAAUGAAGUACUGAUACAUGUUACAACAUGGAUAAAUUUUGAAAACAUGAGAACACAUAAGUGAAAGAAACCAGUCACAAAAGACCUUAUAACAUGUCAUCCCAUUUACAUGAAAUGUCCAAAAUAGGCAAAUCUAUAGAAACAGAAAAUAGAUUAGUGGUUGUCAGGGACUGAGGAUGGAAGGAAUGAGGAGUGACUGCUUGGCACAGAGUUUCUUUUUGGGGUAAUGAAAAUGUUCUAAAAUUGAGUAAGACGAUGGUUGCACAACUUGUGAAUGUACUAAAAACCAUUGAAUUAUAUAUACUUUAAGUAAAUGAAUUGUAUGGUGAAUGGACUUUAUCUCAAUAAAACUAUUAUAAACCUAAAGUUACUAAAAUAGGAAGGAUCAGUUGGUAGCUGACAUACAGAAGCAUAACCAAAUACUGUGAAAAUUCAGAGUAAAGACACCUUUCCAGGCUGCUGUAAUUAAGAAAGCUUUCAUUGGAUGAUGGCAUUUUGGUAGAGAUGGGAUGAGGCAUAUGGAAUUGGAUGAAAGGGAAAGAAGAAGGUAUUUCUUGAGAAAGAAUGAUGAAAACAAGAAGCGAAUUACAGCCUAUGUCUGGGAAAUGGUGGAGAGUCUGGUUUCGCUGAUGUGCUUUGUGCUGAUGGUUACAAUAGCCAAGUAUUGCCACACUUUGGAGAAUAAUGGGAGAAGAUAUUUAAAAUUGUGACUUUGCCCCACAAAUCUAAGGUGUGCUGUUAUGAUACAGUAGAAAGGAAGAAUAAAACUUGAAAUGAUUAAUUGGUCUAGAUCAUGGUGGGAGAGGUAUGAAUACCAGGUGAGGAGACCAUCUCUGAUUCUUUUCUUUCUGGAAGCUCUAUAUCCCAUUUCCUUACUGGCUCAUGGAAAGACUUCCAGGCUUGGGGCAGUCUGUGGGAAGUAGCACCUGCAGAAAGAAGCUUAUAUCUGAGUACAAAGUAUUCUUCAUGGUUUCUCAGUACUGUGGUAGCAUCAGGGUGUUCUUCCACUGCAUCGGAGUGGAAGUCAAGUGUAUGUCAAGCCUCAAUCCCUGUAGCAUGAGUUAGAGAAGGGAUAUGAACUGAUCACAAUUAUUUCACUCCAUUACGUUCCAUUUCACAGUUAUUUUAUUGAGCAUAUUAUGUAAAUAAAGUCUAUGCUAGGUGUUAUAAGAGCUUAAACAAACAAAAAAAGACAUCACUCAACAGUUCAUGUUAAUGGAUGUAGUUGUAAGUUUAUUUUGAAACUUCGUAAGUGUUUCCUUCACUCAGCCACUAAAAGUGAUUGGAAGAACUGAGAGGUACUGGAGAUUCAAAGCAAGAAACUAAGUGCUUCAUUCAUAGUCAGGUGGGGUGAUAGAUCUAGGGCGAAGCUGCUUCCGGCACCCAUCCCCAGCAGGCGGCCUCCUGCUCCUGUCUUUACCUUCUUGGCCUUGUUCUAACAAGUCUGCUUACAACGAAGUGUUCCUUCAAACUCUGGAUUAUAGUCUAUCUGGGCUGUGUAAUGAGUGUAAGGACUAGGGCAACCCGGUUCAGACCCAGACCCAGUAAUUCAUGUGCUAUGGGAGAAAGGCACCCUAAUAAAGAGCUGACCCUAUAGAACUUGGGGUUAAUGGGAAAGGCUUUGAACGGGGGACCCAAAUCAUACUUACCCCUAAGAGAAAAGGGAUACCUCCUGAACCUUCUCUCUCUGUACCACAUUAUGUGUGUAAGUUCUGUCUGUCCAUUUCCUUAUUUUUUGAGUUAUAAUGUAUUUAUCAUAAUGUAAAUAUAAAAUAUCACUAUAGAAAACUCAGAAAUAUAUAAUGUAAACAACUAAAGUCACACAUAGUCUCACCAUCCAGAAGUAACCACUGCUAACAUUCUGGCAUAUUUCCUUCCUUUUCUAUAUGCACAUAUUUUUUUUUCCACAAGGUUGAAAUCAUGCAUAUGUGUAAACAUUGAUUUGUAUUUUUAUUUUUCAUUAAAAAUUGUACAAUGAGCACUUUCUGUGCCAUUUAAUUAUUUUUCAAAAAUAUGAUUAAAAAAAUAGCACAGUAUGAUUCCCCGAUAUUGGACAUUAUGGUAUUCUUUUGGUUUUGCUCUUCAACCAUAAUGCCUUGCAAACACUUCCUUUUUUAGCCAACAAAUGCAGCUAUUAGAAGUAUUAAGUCUCAUGGAGUUCUUUACUGAGCUUUUGCUGCAACAGCUUGGUAAUAACAGUAUCACCGAGCCUUCUCGCUGGGGACUGCCACACAACUGUCCCUUCAAAGACAUGCUACCUCCUCACUUUUCUUCUCACCUGGUUGAUAAGAGUCACCAGCUGCCACACAGGUAAGCUCUUUCAAUAAAGAGACUGUUUAGAGGGGUGCCUGGGUGGCUCAGUUGGUUGAGCUUCCAACUCCGGCUCAGGUCAUGAUCUCACGGUCUGUGGGUUCACGCCCCGCGUUGGGCUCUGUGCUGACAGCUCAGAGCCUGGAACCUGCUUCAGAUUCUGUGUCUCCCUCUCUGACCCUCCCCUGUUCAUGCUCUGUCUCUCUCUGUAUCAGAAAUAAAUAAACAUUAAAAAAAUUAAAAAAAAAAAGAGACUGUUUAGAGAAAUUGUUGGCUGUGAUGGUGAACUGGAGAGCCAAAUGAAAGGUAAUGUGACUGAAACAUGUAGGUAUCCACCUCAACUGUAUCUGGCCCCCUUACAUUUAGUGUCUGCAUAAAGCUUGCUCAUAGACUUCUCAUAGUUUUUCUAUAAAUGUGAGGUGAAAAUGGUACAAGCCCUAGAGGCAAUACCUGGGUACAUUGCUGGAGUUGUCUGUUUUGAUUUAGUUAAUACUCAUCUUUAGUAGUGUAUAAAUUUCUUUUUUUCCUUUUUUUCCUUUUUUUCUCUUUCCUGUUAUAUAGUAAAACUUUGUAACACUGCAUCCGAUUUAAUUUUGUUAAUUUGUUAAAAAGACUUAUGGAUGCCUACAACAUAUGGAACACCGUGAUGGACAUACGGAAGACGAAGAGGACUUAGGCUUGACCCUAGGGAGCUUAUAGUCCAGUGGGGGUGAUAAGAUAUACAUACAAAUAACCAUAAAACAAAGUAGACCAGGUUGUAAGAAUAUUUUUAGUGAUGUAGAAAUGCUCACAAAACAAUGCCAUGAGAAAAUUAAACUGGGCACUAAACUGUAUAUGCAAACUGAGUUCUCCUUAAAAAGUACACAUAUAAAAGGCUGAAGGAGAAAAUUCCAAAAUGUUAAUGGUGGUUGUCUGGGUGAUGGACUUAAAAGAGAUUGUAGUGUUCUUCUUUAUUCUUUUCUACUUUUUCAAACUUGUUUUUACAAUGAAUCUGUAUUACUAUUAGAAGCACUAAAAAUAUGCUUUGUUAAUUGAGUGAGUACUAUAUAAAAGUACAAAGUAUGGUAGAAGUAGGGAGGAGCAAAGAUUGUAUCUCCUAGGGUUGGGGAAUUGGGAAAGCUUUAAGAUGUAUAUCUUUCCUAAUGAUGAAAAACUUUCCUUGGAAAUAAAUAUCUUAGAAAUAAUGAAAUUUUAUCCAGUUGAAAAGGCAUAUUGCAUUCCUACAACUUUUUUUUCUCUAUGACAUUUGACUACAGUCUCUCUUUCUCUCGUUUCUACACACCCCCCACACACCUCUCUUUUGCCUAUAGCUCUAGUAGCUGCUAGCUGGCAUAUUGCCUUUUAAAUUUUAUAUUAUUUGAGAUAUGUCUUUCAAAUUCUUUACUACAUUUACCACAGGGAGAUAUUUUCUGAGUCAAUGGUUAUUGUCAUUCACUAGUCAUAUUCCUAGUUAGAAUAUACAAGCUUGGCAAAGAGUCUUUCCACUUGUCCCACUGACCACAGAAAUGUUUUAUUUGGUUAUUGGCUGGCAGAGUCUGCUCUUUUAUGCUCCUGUUCUUCUGUAGACCUCUGUAUCUGUAAAUAGUCAACCCAUAGAGUGCAUACUCUUCAGGGUCUAAUAGACCUCUAGGAAAGAGACUUCUUGUAAUAUUCCACAAGUCACCUGUGCUGCUUCAUCAGCUGAUGAGCUUCCUGUUCUGUUGCCGGAUGCCCUGGGUGAUGGGACUUCCCACAGCGUGUGGUGAAGUUGUAGAGGUUUGUCAGGACAGAAUUUAGGUGACAUGUAUAGGCUUCAGCUAACUUGAAAGGUGAGUCUUGAUUCUGGAUGGCCUUGGGUGAAUUAUUUACCCUCUGUAUGCUUUAGUUUCCUCACUUGUAAAAUGGACACAAUAUCAGGGUACUUGGAUGGCUCAGUCGGUUAAGCUUCUGACUUAGGCUCAGGUCAUGGUCUCGCGGUCCGUGAGUUCAAGCCCCACAUUGGGCUCUGUGCUGACGGCUCAGAGCCCGGAGCCUGCUUCGGAUUCUGUGUCUCCCUCUCUCUCUGCCCUUCCGCCACACACACACCCUGUCUUUCUCUCUCUCAAAAAUAAAUAAAUAUUAAAAAGAAUUUUUUUAACGUUUAUUUAUUUAUUUAUUUAUUUAUUUUUAACAUUUAUUUAUUUUUUUGAGACAGAGAGAGACAGAGCAUGAACGGGGGAGGGUCAGAGAGAGGGAGACACAGAAUCUGAAACAGGCUCCAGGCUCUGAGCUGUCAGCACAGAGCCCGACGCGGGGCACGAACCCACGGACCGCGAGAUCAUGACCUGAGCCGAAGUCGGACGCUUAACCGACUGAGCCAUCCAGGCGCCCCUAAAAAGAAUUUUUUAAUGGAAACAAUAUUUACUUCGUAGGCUUAUUUUUAAGAUUAAGAUUGUCAUUCAUAGGCAUUUGAUACAUAGUUGCUAUUCGUAUGGUGUAUCAUAGCCUGGAGGAUUGUGGCAGAUUUUUUUUCUCCUGAAUAGAUUACAGGAAGAAGAGGAAGCAGGAAAAUAUGCUGAGAGGAUAUCAUAACCUUACCUUUCUUUCCUUCUCUGAAAUAGUAAGGAACAAAAGAACAUGUAAAGAAAUAAUUGUUAUACAAUGUGAUCUAAUGCAAUGACAAAAGUAUAUUCAAAAUACAAAAGGGGAAAUGUUGAACUGGACUGGGAUCUGGGAGGGCUUUGAGAAGAAGUGCUUCUAGGGCAGAGUUUUGAAUGAUAAGUGAGUAGAGGGGGGCAGGUGAGGGUGGUGGUGAGGGGGGACAUGCCAGGUGAGGAGGGUCUGGACAGCACCACAACUUAGGCAUGGUACUCCUGGUAGACCUUGGAGUGUGGGGGAGUCUUGAGAGAUGAGACCAGAGAGAGAGAGUGGAUCCAGACAAUAAGAUUGACUUCACCUGUAUGUGUAAGGGCUUCUCAAAGGGACUGAGCAUGCCCUGAGCCCCCCUUUCUCCUACCUGUUUCAGAGGUGUCCCAGGCUUGUUAAUUCCAUAAAGUGCAGCCCUGGCUACACAGUACUAUCUCUUGGUUAUUUUUCUCUGUUUGGGAAGCAUUGCUUCAUAACUUCCCAGACAUGCCUGCAUAUCUACUGUUAUACCUCCUCUACUGCUAACUCUCUCCCAGCCACAUCCAGAAGCUCAGCAGCAGUUGUUUUGGAAGCUGUCACUGACCCUCAAAUAUCAUCCAGGACUGACUUUGAUCCAAAUGUGUUCAAAUGUGACUCAUCUAGAGAGACAGAUUUGCACAUUAUAGAAACAGAGUUCCAGGUUCAUAUAGCAAAUCCAACAAAUAGGUACAGGGUCAGCCUGAGUGAACUUAAUUCAGUGGCAUCCCACACAGAAUGCUGAGGUGUUGGAAACCUGUCUGCUCAAAGUACAUGUAGUGGGGGUGCAGCCUGGAGCGGGUAUUUAUGAGGCCUUCUUCAGACCCAGGAGGGUGUGGCUAGGCUAUGCUGGCCCACACUCUUUCUUGGCUGAGACAAAAUUUCUGCCUUCCUUUUUGUUCCUUACAGAAUGUCUUGCUUUUUGGUGAUUGUGAACAUAUUGCUGCUCGUUCAUGAUGCAGGUGAGUCACUUUUCAAAAAACCUUUGUGGGUAUUUCUGAAACAGCGUUGGGAACAGUGAGGAAAAUAGUGAUUUGGAGAUUUGAGGAAAAACAAGCAAAUGAUUUAAUCUCCCUGAACCUCAGUCUUUUCAUUUGUUGGAUGGGAAUAACAAUGUUGUAUUUGUUUCACAGGUAAUGUUGAAGAACAGAUGGGAAAAUCUAACAGACACAAAUUGUAAAGAAUUGUUUACUUUUUAAAUGAGAACCCCUACACCCACCCCCAAUUUGGCUUGUCCAUUCGAGUAUAUAUUAGAUAAUUACACUUAUUCACACCUAUGCUUUGAACUUCUCUAACUGAAACAAAAAUAUCUAGACAUUCUUCCCCACUUCAAAUAACUCUGACAAGUGUUGAUUUCGGGUAUAGUAUUACAGAAUAUUUGAAACCAGACCUGUCCUGAAAAAUCUGGAUAGGUUAGUCAAUGCAGGGUUUUUAUAAUUCUUUUUUCUCAAUUCUUCAAAAAUGUUGGGAUGAACAGUAUACAUAUGUUGAAAAUGUUAAUGUAAACCAACUAACCAAAAGUAUAUAUGCAAAAAGACUUUAUAGAAACACACGUGUCCAAAACCUCCAAUAUAAUUACUGCACAAAAUGAUCAGACAUUUUUAUAGUUGUCAGACACAGGCCAUCUCUCAGGGACCUGCAGCCGUUCUGCUAGGAUGGCAGCAGCUUGAAGCCAUCCUUAGGUUCCAGAGAUCCACUCAGGAGUUAGUGUAAGGCCUGGUUCAUCCAGAUUGCAUUUACUACCUCUUUUCUUUUGAUGCUUGGUUACUGUGUGUGUGUGUGUGUGUGUGUGUGUGUGUGUGUGUAGGGAGGCAGUCCACUCACAGUCAAGAAUAACCCAACCAGAGAAAGGAAAGAAUAUGUAUAUAGGUGAGAAAGAGAAAGGUUCAUUAGUUCUAAUAAUAUAGCAAUAUUGAUAGCCUCAUACUGUGUGCUAGGUAUAUAGUAAGUGCUUCAGACAUAGUAUCUUUCUACAGCUUUCAAAGUGUUUUCUCACAUUAUUAGCUGUUUGCUGAGCUUUUGCUCAGUUUCUUAAGCCUUGGGAAGCUAAAGACACAAUGGGCUAGAAAUAUAGCACAGGUUGAAAUAGACAAAAGAGUUAUUCAGAUUCAAGUAGAAUCAUCUGUAGACACAUCAGACACAUCACCAAUUACUCAUCAGUAGAUUGUGUUUUCGUCAUUCUUUGGCUAGAGGCUUUGGAUUCCUGAGUCUGAGACCUUUUCCCUUGGGACCAGAAGGGGUACAGCAGUAGCAAGACUUCCUGGGUGUAACCUGAGAAGCUAGAAUUAAGGCCCUCUCAUGAGUAAGCUAUAUAUUUUUGUAAGAAAUUAGCAAGAAGGGCAGCUUACUAAGGCAUCCACCCAUCUGGUCCACUCUUUCUGUCUCUCUGAAAAAUGACUGAGCCAUGUCAUAUAAAAACAGCUCUAAGAUCCCGAGGUAUUUUGUAACAAGCCCAGGGCAGGUAUUUUUAUCAUAAUUAUACAUUAGAAAACUAUAACCCAGAGAGAAUAAGUGACUUGCCCAUUGCCAAAUGACUAGUAAGGGGGGCUUAGAACUAGAACUUAGAUUUACACCUCUUCAGAUUAGGAUUUUUCUUAUAACCACAAUCCACUGCUUCUUGAUUGUGACCACAUUAGACAAAUAACAAUUUGAAGAAGAAAACAUUUCAGUUUUUAUAUGUGUAUCUAUCCUUCUAAAGGUUUUACAGAUUAUUUCUCCUUGCCUCCUUCUUUCCAUCCUCAUCUGUCUUCCUUUAUAUUCAUUCAUUUAUUUAAUUAGUUGUUGAUUCAUUCAUCAGUUUUAAGAUGAGUGUUCACUGGUAGAUGGAAAAACACAGUUCAGAUGGAGGUCUGUGGAGCCAGACUACCUGGGUUUGAGUCAUAGUUCUACUACUUACUAGCUAUGUGUCCCUGAGCAACUUCACCUCACUUGUGCCUUGGUUUCCUCAGUAGUAAAUUGGGGAUAAUAACAGUAACUACCUCCAUGUUAGUGUACAGAUUAAAUGAAUUAAAUUUAUGAAAAUCUAUUAGAAUAUGUCUAACACAAUAUAAACACUUGAUACAUGUCACCAGAUGUAUUAAUCAGAAUUCUCCAGAGAAACAGAACAAACAAAAUCUAUAUAAAGAGAUCAUGUGAUUAUGGAGGUAAGAAGUCCCAAGAACUGCAGUGUGCAAGCUGGAAACCCAGCAAAGUGAUUGCCAAGUCUGAAGGCUUAAGACCCAAAAAGAGCCUUUUUUUUCGGUUUGAAGUCUCAGCUCAAACAAAGAGAAGUUCCCUGUUACUCAAGACAGGGUCAGCCUUUUUGUUCUAUUCAGGCCUUCAACUGAUUGGAGGAGGGCCACCCACAUUAUACAGGGCAGUCAGCUUAGUUUACCAACUCAAAUGUUGAUAUCAUCCAAAACACCUUCCAAGACGUGCCAAAAAUAAUGUUUGACCAAAUACCUAGGCACCCUGUGACCCAGUCAAGUUGACACAUAAAAUCACACUGGAUAGUUUUUAACUGCAUCAAGUCCUGUGCUAGGCACUGGUGAAACAGGAUGGUUAAGAUAUGGUCUCUGUACUCUGUGGACAGUUUAUGCCCAACCCCACCAAUAGCCACAUGAUUGCCACUGAUGAAUGAGCAGAUUGCAACUAUUGUUUAGCUGGAAUGUACCCUACUGGAUAUCUCUCUGGCUGCUCUUUGCUGGGCUGAUGGCUCAGAAGCUUCCUUGCCUAUGACCAUUUAAAAUUUGGAUUUCCCCUUGGUGUUUCACCUAUGUUUUUCUUCUUUCUUUUUUUAAGUUUAUUUCUUCAUUUUGAUAGAGUGAACGGAGGAGGGGCAGAGAGAGAGGGAGAGAGAGAAUUCCAAGCAGGCUUCACACCGUCAGCACAGAGCCCAACGUGGGGCUCGAUCUCAUGAGCGGUGAGAUCAUGACCUGAGCCAAAACUGAGUCGGAUGCUUAACCAACUAAGUCACCCAGGUGACCCUAUGUUUCCCUUCUAUUUAGUCUCACUUUAUUAUAUCACACUGACUGGUUCUUCCUCCUUUCUGAUGUCUGUUACCUGCACAGUGUCCCUAGGAGAAAAAAAGAUUGCCUUCUUAGCAGAGUCCCUACUUUCAUAAUGCUUAAGUUUCAUUAUUCUGUCUUACUCAAAUUGGGAGGUUAGUUUUAUAGGCUCAAAAGCGUGGUAACUGUGACCUGAAACUUUCUUUUUUUUUUUUUAAAUUUUUUUUUUCAACGUUUAUUUAUUUUUGGGACAGAGAGAGACAGAGCAUGAACGGGGGAGGGGCAGAGAGAGGGAGACACAGAAUCAGAAACAGGCUCCAGGCUCUGAGCCAUCAGCCCAGAGCCUGACGCGGGGCUCGAACUCACGGACCGCGAGAUCGUGACCUGGCUGAAGUCGGACGCUUAACCGACUGCGCCACCCAGGCGCCCCUGAAACUUUCUUUUUAAACUCUGAAAUGUCUUGUUUCUUUCUGCAUUGCUAGCAGUAUCUUACUUUGUGACCCCGAGCAACUCUGCUUCCUGAGUUUCAAUUUUGUCUUUCAGUAGCCAAAAUAAUUGACAGAAGAAUUCCAACGUGGAAGCCCAAUUUAUAAAGUAAAUUAGAGAGGGAUUGUUUUGAUUGAGUUGGUAAAAGAAAGGAGGUCUCACUGAUUUGAUCUUCUCUUGGCUGUCAGUGACAACUUCUGGGAUGGGCUCUGGAAAAAGUGGUUUCAAAGAUUGAAUCAGAUGAUCUCUAAGCCUUCUUCCAGCUCUAACAGAUCAGGAAUCAUUUCCAUGUCAUGAUUCAAUGAAUAGUACAGAGUGCAUGGCUGUAUUCUUCCCAGGCCUCAGCUCCUCCUGUUGUUAACUCUGCCCAGACCAGUAGGUGUUUGUGACAAGUAGAAUAGACUGACUUACUAAAAAUCUGUUUCUGCCUUUCUAAUUUGCCUUCCUACCUUGCUGAGACUGGAGAGUAAAACAAACAAACAAACAAACAAACAAACAAACAAAAAACUACAUUUCUAAGAUUGCUUUACAGUUUGGGUUCUGGGAAUGACAUAAACUCUGCUAAUCAGAUACAUUUGCUCACAGAUUGAAUCACCAAUUGAUUUGAAUGGGGAGAGAGGUGAUAUUGCACGAGGCAUCCUUUCUUUUGCCCGUGUGAAUCUAGCAGGUGCGGUUUGGCUCUGGAGUCAGUACUUGCAGUGAUGACUUCCUGAUUUACCAGCUUCCUGAUAUGGCAGAGGCAGCAGUUCCACUGGCAGACCAGCUCUGAAGUGUUGUUCUGAGCCUAGCAUAAUGUGAGGAAGGACAGAACACACACACUGCAGGUCUUACCUUCUAUGCCCUACUUUGGGCUUAUUCCUCCAACCUUCCAGUAAUUCUGUAAACAUCUAAUUGUCUAUACUAAAUUCCUUUCUGCUCGAAAAAGCUAGAAUUAUUCAUUUUAUCUGUUAUUAAACCCGACCUGAUGCAGCAUUUACUAGCCUUUAUAAAUACUUUACUAACUUCAUUUCUUCUUUGACAUUCUCAGUGUCUAUAGAAGAGUUACGGGUCCACCUGUUCACUGAGUUUCCCCUCUCCUGCCACUUUUCCUUUGUGGAGGGCACAGAAAAUAUUGAGUUUUCUUGGGAAAGAGAAGACAUCAAAGGGGGAAUAUGAAGUAGAGGAUGAUAAAGAAUAUUACCAUUUUCUCAGGUAUUAUGAUUUUUUUUGAAGUUUUCUCAAAGUUGGUCUAUAAGUUUCACAAUAACACAGAGCAACUAGAGGAUCAAAACUUCUUGUAUGAGGGAAGAGUCUCUGUGGAUUGGGCUGAAAUUUCUGAGGGGACUCUAUCACUUUUACUAAGAUAUGUGUAUUUCAUGGAUAAGCUACAAGUGCUCAGCCAUCACACCAAAUGGAAGAGGUGAAAGUACAAUUAAGCUAAUAGUAGAAGGUAAGGGCAUUUAUUGAAUGAACUUGGUUUUAAGUUCUAUCUCUGUUUAUAGGGAUAAAUUGUAAGCUUCCUCUUCUGGUGUUGUCAGUUUUCCUCUUCUACUCAAAUUUUUAUAGGCUCCUCUCAUACCCAUCAUGUAAUUCAUCUUAGCUGAAAAUACUGCUCUGAACCAAAAUUGUUGUAUCUGCACCUGUCUAUAUUAUCCAUUCUUUUCAAACAAGCAAACAAAAUAUAUAUACAAAACCAAAAACCACAGACAUUAUCCCAGACUCACCAACAAAUUGUAACACUGAAAGCCCAAAAUGUUAUAUAAUAUAAUUCUCCUACAUGAAAACCCUGACCUAUGUCCUGUGGUUUAGCGAGACCAGUCCUGCACUGGGUAUUAGGAGGCCUAAGUUCUAAUUCUGGAUGACUCUGGAUAACUUGUUUAGCUUUUCUAGGCUUCAUUUUCUCACUGUUAAAAUAUGGGAUUGGGCCAGUUGAUCUUUGUAAUGCCCCAGGGAUGCUCACCCUUCUCAGGAUUAUAGGAGAGUGGUCUUCUUCUCACCAGAGAUCUCCUGUGGGUGGAGGGAGGCAUAGUAGAAUCCCUCCAGGGCAAGUGCUGGUAGAGAUAAGAAGGUGGUGGUGAAAAUCAUUUGUUAUCUUCUGUGACUCCAGCAGGGUGUCUGAGGUCAGCAGAAGGUCUGCAAUGAACCCCUGGAGAGGGGAAGAUUCCAAAAGUAAAUACAGCAGUGAUAGGUGAGACCUGCAGGGUAGGAGCAUAUAUAUAGCGUGAUUUUCUCUCAGUGCCUACAUCAAAAGUUUAACCACAGUGAAUCUUAAGAUAUGUUACCUCCAUAAGCCUUAAUGUAAACACUAAGGGCAAGAUUUCUGCUAGCUUGAGCUUCCUGAGGCCAAAAUAAAAAAGAAACUAAUUGUUUUGUUAUUUUUUCCAGCCAGACUUUGAAAUGCCCCAGGUGCAGUUUGAUAGGAUUGAUGAUGAGGACGUGACAAUGUGCAUCUCUAAGGGCUGGUACCUCAUGCCCAACGUGACCUGGCUUCACCCAGCAGAGAGGGACCUGAGCAAUCACAGUACCAUAGGUCCCAGAGGAGCAGGUGAAUGGCUUCUACAGGGUGUUCCCUGUCCUGAAAUAC
rnacentral:lncRNA from 1 species